UAGUAAACACUCUGUAUCACUAAUACUUUAUAAUAUUGUUUAAAAUACACACUCCUGAGCAAUAUAGGGCCAAACCCAAAAUUCCUUUUAAUCAAAUUACUGGUCAUGUUUGCAGCCUUGGUGUUGUCGUGGAUAGCCAAGAUCAUCCCGAAUCCUCAUCUACGACAUCAAAAAGAUUUGAGCGUUCCUCUCUAUGGAAGCCGCUCAGAUUCUGGUCCGAUCGCUCGUCAUCUCGAGGCAGGACGACUGCAACUCCCUCCUGACAGGAACCCCCCAUGUCCACUGUUAAACCCCUGCAAAUGAUUCAAAAUGCAGCUGCCCACCAGUGGAUGGUGAAGUCGAUCAUGCUGGUCGUGUCUUUACCCUAAAUAUAUCAGUGACGGGUCAUGCGGAGGGAUUUGUGCACCACUAACACUGACGGGAUCGCUGCAGCUCCGCUCAGGCUGACCCGGGGUGAGGUGGUACAGAGGUACGGCAGGAGGUUUGGCUGGAGGUUUGUGGUUGGCAGUUUCUCGCUAGCGCUUGCUUUCCAGGAUCCCCCUCCAGUCAUCGCUCCAGGACAGGAGUCGCCUCGGGGUGGCGCCGGCGGGCAGGUGCUUGUUGUGGCAGGCGGUGAAGACAAUGUGCUCCCAGGAGGGAUUCGGUUCUACACCUGUUACAGGAAAACAUCAGGGUUCCAAAAGUUUAGUCUGAGAACAACCAACAGUACCAGCAAGUCUAGGAACCUAUUAAAAAUUAUUUUUGCUAGUUAUAACUUUUAGUUUAAUUUCAUUUUGUGUGUAGGUAUGCUUUGUGUAAGUCUAAUUCAUCUGAAUGAUUCUCCAGGCCACCUGAGGAGGAUGGAGGUUCCUGCUGAGUCUGGUUCCUCUCAAGGUUCUUCCUGCAUUUUUAAGGGAGUUUUUCCUGCCACCGUCGCCCUCGGCUGCUCGGCUGUGUUUUUUUUGGUCUGUCGGUCCUGGAUUCUGUAAAGUUGCUUUUAGACAUAGGGUGUGUUUGAAAACCUAGUGAGCUGCCUUGCUGUCUUACUGCCUACACAGGCAGCUGCCUCAGUAGAGAGGAUUCUAAUAAGUCGUCGACUUAUAAGUCAGGUUACUCUUAACGCACUACUUAGACAGCGAUUACGUCCGUUUUCGAUUACUAAGCUAACACAGUUAGCCUCAUGCCAUUCAAACCAAUGGGAUGAGGUGGCACAACGUGCUAGCAUGUCAAGUGACGUCUCCCUCCGUGUACCGGAAACACUUCAACUCUCCCUGACGAUGCAAUUUACAAAUAAACAACACUUGUAUAAUUACACCUGUAUACAGAUUAAACAUCAACGAUGUGUGUGUGGGUGGGUCUUCAUACGCUGUGUAAGGACCCUGAUCGGCGGAAGAGACGCCUGUGCAGAAUGCAGGGGUGAGAAGAGGAGGGCUGUACACGUGUCGGAGGAGGCUCUCCUCAGAUGCAAUCAAGUAUCUCUCAGCAGCGGGAGACAAAUUGAGUCACUCAAUCGGGAGGAAAAUGGGAAGAAAAUACAUCAAUUAUUUCAAUACUCCCAAUUAUCAAGUAUAAUUUAUUUACGUGUGAAAAGAACUCAGUUGGUUGCUCCACAUCCAUCCGCUAUGUUUGUAGUUUUUUGUGAGAAACGUCGUGCUGCACUGAAUGCUGGGAUUGAUCUUCAGCACUAAGGCAGCAUCGGACGCUCCCUCGUUAUUCAGUCAAACUACCGUUCAGAUUUAAGGUGCCUCACUAAUCAGCAUUUUAAGGCACCUUAUGCCUGGUUCACACUACACGACUUUUGUCCUGAUUUUCGCUCGGCGGCUGGUCAGCGCUAGAUUUGCCGGCUCGGGAGCAACUCGGUGUUCGCUCUGCGAUCAAAACUCGGCUCUCAAUCGCUAUGUGUAAACUACUUAACAACUCGAUCCGAGCGGCUCGCCAAGCGCUCGGCGACCGAAGCGAGAUUUCUAGCAUGUCAGAUAUCUCAUCUGAGUUGCCCGACUGGCAGUGAGUGCUGUGUCGAACAGCCAAUGAGAACGCAAGAUACGGUGUGAGGGGAAACGCAGGGGAGGACAGGUGGGACAGGGGCGUAAUAUAGUUUAUAUCAGAAUACAUCAGCACACACACACAAGUUUUACAGUAUUUCUGACCUGAUCGUUCUCUACCAAAAUACCCACGCUGCAUUGCAAAAAAUAUUUAUUAACCUCCAACUCACUAUAGAACAAUCCAUACUGUUCGUGUUGCCAAAUCCACUCAGAUUCAUUUAUUUUUCCUCUUUGAUUUUACGCUGCACAUCAGCGCACAAACUUUGAUCUCUCGCUACUUGUUGACGUGCAUUUUUAGACGUGGUGUCAUUAAACCCCUCGUCACUUCUCACGUGUGUUUUCGUGACAGAACGUAGUUUGGGAGAGCAGAGAAGCUCGUCUGUGAUUCCAGUUGGUGAUAGAUGGUGUAGUGUGUGACCCCCUUACAAGAGAUCCAGAUUACAAGAGAUCCAGUCGUGUAGUGUAAACUGUACUGCGACCCGACCACUUGGAAAGUCGUGUAGUGUGAACUUGGCAUAAGAAUUCAAACAGCCUCCUUCUCCGUAGCGCGUGUAGGAUGACGUAAUAUGCGUCUAUGUAGAGAGCUCACUAGGUUUUCGAACACACCCACUGUCUAUUGUAAAAAGCGUUAUACAAAUAAAUUUUACUUGACUUGA